rnacentral:rRNA from 1 species
CAAUAGCGUAUAUUAAAGUUGUUGCAGUUAAAAAGCUCGUAGUUGGACCUUGGACCUGGACAGGCGGUCCGCCUCACGGCGUGUACUGUCUUGCUGGGUCUUUCCUCUUGGUGAUCUGUUGUUUCGGCAGCAGGGGACCAGGACUUUUACUUUGAAAAAAUUAGAGUGUUCAAAGCAGGCUCGACGCCGGAAUAUAUUAGCAUGGAAUAAUAAAAUAGGACGUGCGGUUCUAUUUUGUUGGUUUUUGGAAUCGCCGUAAUGAUUAAUAGGGACAGUCGGGGGCAUUAGUACUCACAUGCUAGAGGUGAAAUUCUUGGAUUUUGUGAAGACUAACUUCUGCGAAAGCAUUUGCCAAGGAUGUUUUCAUUAA